UCAGUGAAAUUUCAUAAAAGUUCUGUGUAUUUGUGUUGAUGUGUUUCUCUCUCUCUCUCUCUGUGUGUGUCUGUCUAUGUGUGUGUGUGUGUUUGUGCCGCUUUGUAUCUCAGGCAGUUGCUGAAGUUAAUGUCUGAGCUUGUUUGAGUUCUGGAUGUUUUCCUGCAGUGCUGUGCAGUAAAUGUGAACGGCAGCAGACUCUUGUGAUGCCUGGCUGGUUGUCAGGGAAACAUUCGCCUGCUGUUGUCUCACUUGUCAUGCCUCCAGUCUUUAGAGCAAAUGGUCAGAUUGGCAUAAGGAGGAGGAUGAUCAUGUGACAUCAACCAUUUGUUACAAACACUUCCAUUUAGCACCAUAAUGUCUUUUAACCUGUAACCAAAAUUAAAAGUAUGCCAUUAAGUCACUGUAGCUAACAUCAGUUAAAAACUUUUUUUUUUAAGACUCUUUCUGGGUUGAAAUAAUAUAACAUGUUAGGUGGAAUUUUUGGUCAGAGGAUGAUGAUGUGACAUACAUCAUUUGUUAUAAAUCGGAACUGUUUAUCAACAUAAUGUCUUUUAGCCCCCACCAAAUAACAACUAUGUCACCAAAAAGGUAUCUCACUAAAUCACUGUAGCUACUAUCAGUUGGAAGCCCCCUUUAUUAAUGUUGAUGUAUGCUUAUGUCAGUUGCCAAAAAAAGUGUCAUAUAGAUGUUCUAACCGUUCCCUAGAGCAUAGCGUUGUUUACCUGUAUAUACCUGUAUACUGUUUACUCACUGUUUUCUCAAAACAUUCCAAGGCACUUAAUAUGUAGCACACAACACCUUGAGUGUAAAGAAGAAAAAAAAACACAUAGAGGGUGUCGUUCAUCAGAAAGUGUGGCCACACAGCAGUGGGCAGCUCCAUCUCAUUCUGACACACUUCACAGACUCGGAGGAACUGGUUCCAGCUCAGGCGUCUGGUGGCUGGGAGCGCGGUGACAGUGAGACACGGCCCGCGCGUGGAAAAACUCCACCUCUGCGGUCGCAUCUGGCAGGACGGGGAGAUUCUGCGCUCAAGUGGAUCCCUGAAGUGGAACUAGAGGUUUUGAUCUGACGUGCUGAUUGUGCUGAAGACGCGACAGACCGAUGAAGAGCAACAUGAGCCCUCACCCUCAGGAUGCACCUCAUCACGGUGUCUGCUGGACCGCAUCAGACAUCUGAAAAUCACAUAUCGAGUUGUGCAAUGUAUAUCAUCUUCUGCUGAUGUACUCUUAGGGCGUGUCAAUUCAUCACUUAUUAGUACACUGUGUUUUUUUUUCUUGAUUACUUUUGACAAGAACAACUCUAAGUACAGGGGUGGCAUUGACAGAAAUGUGUUUCUCAGCGUAUUUCUUAUCACUCAGUUAGCCAUUUCCUUCGUCCUCCUCGUGUUACCGUCACUGUUGUGUAAGCAGAGCCUGGGCCAUGGAAGAGGAAGCUGACACAGUUCAGCCUUGGGUGUACCCUAUAGUCUACUCGUGCCAAGCACUUUCAACUCUUCAACCUCAACAGGAACUCACUAAUGAAGCAUAAACACUUUAUAUCUAUUUAAAUAAAUGUAAUUCAUAAAGAAAA